rnacentral:rRNA from 1 species
AGAGAUGCACUGGGUUUAAAGCGUGCGCAGGCGGUUUUGUAAGACAGAGGUGAAAUCCCCGGGCUCAACCUGGGAACUGCCUUUGUGACUGCAAGGCUGGAGUGCGGCAGAGGGGGAUGGAAUUCCGCGUGUAGCAGUGAAAUGCGUAGAUAUACGGAGGAACACCGAUGGCGAAGGCAAUCCCCUGGGCCUGCACUGACGCUCAUGCACGAAAGCGUGGGGAGCAAACA